CAUAUGUGGCAGCAAAGCAGAUUCUUUAUCUUGUGAGACCUUGUCAAUACUGCAGAAACAAGAACAAGUUUCAGUAACUCUAAGUGGCAGAAAGAAUGGACAAAUCCCUGGGCUUGCUCAUCCUUUGGUUACAACUAGACUGGGUGAGCAGCAAACAGGAGGUGAAGCAAAGUCCUGAAGCUCUGAAUAUCCAAGAGCAGGACAGCGUGGUUCUCAACUGCAGUUACACGGAUGGCGCUCUUUAUUCCCUUCAGUGGUUUCGGCAGGACCCUGGGAAAGGGCUCACAUUGAUAAUGAUAAUUCUGUCAAAUCAGAAGGAACAAACAAGUGGAAGAAUUAAAGUCUUGUUGGAUACCCGGGCAAGACAGAGCUCUUUAUACAUUGUAGCUUCUCAGCCCAGCGACUCGGCCACCUACCUCUGUGCAGUGAGGCACAGUGUGCAACAGGCUCCCGCCACCAGUACCCAAACUCUGCAGCUGGGGCUCCAACCACAUGUCCUGUCUUGAAGCUGAGGGGCCUUUCUCCAUCUAGGGGUUUUCUAAAUUGACUCUCUCCCCAGAUAGAAGCAAUUAAAUAUGCAAAACCUCCUCUAUAUAUGUACCAAUACAUAGAUACACACACAUACAUAUAUGUUUGUAUACAUACAUAUAUGCAUAUAAUAUACAGAUGCAUCUGGAGUUAAAUUCAACCUUUCAUUUUUUUAUCAACUUCAAUUUAAAUAAUAGCUUUACUGAGAUUAAUUCCCAUGUCAUACAAUUCACGCUUUUAAAAUGAACCAUUAAGGGGCGCCCGGUUGGCUCACUUGGUUAAAUGACUGUCUUUGGCUCAGGUCAUG